AGCGAACGCUGGCGGCAGGCUUAACACAUGCAAGUCGAGCGGGCCCUUCGGGGUCAGCGGCAGACGGGUGAGUAACACGUGGGAACGUACCCUUUGGUUCGGAAUAACGCUGGGAAACUAGCGCUAAUACCGGAUACGCCCUUUUGGGGAAAGGCUUGCUGCCGAAGGAUCGGCCCGCGUCUGAUUAGCUAGUUGGUGGGGUAAUGGCCUACCACGGCGACGAUCAGUAGCUGGUCUGAGAGGAUGAUCAGCCACACUGGGACUGAGACACGGCCCAGACUCCUACGGGAAGCAGCAGUGGGGAAUAUUGGACAAUGGGCGCAAGCCUGAUCCAGCCAUGCCGCGUGAGUGAUGAAGGCCUUAGGGUUGUAAAGCUCUUUUGUCCGGGACGAUAAUGACGGUACCGGAAGAAUAAGCCCCGGCUAACUUCGUG
rnacentral:rRNA from 1 species